GACGAACGCUGGCGGCGUGCCUAAUACAUGCAAGUAGAACGCUGAGGUUUGGUGUUUACACUAGACUGAUGAGUUGCGAACGGGUGAGUAACGCGUAGGUAACCUGCCUCAUAGCGGGGGAUAACUAUUGGAAACGAUAGCUAAUACCGCAUAAGAGUAAUUAACACAUGUUAGUUAUUUAAAAGGAGCAAUUGCUUCACUGUGAGAUGGACCUGCGUUGUAUUAGCUAGUUGGUGAGGUAAAGGCUCACCAAGGCGACGAUACAUAGCCGACCUGAGAGGGUGAUCGGCCACACUGGGACUGAGACACGGCCCAGACUCCUGCGGGAGGCAGCAGUAGGGAAUCUUCGGCAAUGGACGGAAGUCUGACCGAGCAACGCCGCGUGAGUGAAGAAGGUUUUCGGAUCGUAAAGCUCUGUUGUUAGAGAAGAACGUUGGUAGGAGUGGAAAAUCUACCAAGUGACGGUAACUAACCAGAAAGGGACGGCUAACUACGUGCCAGCAGCCGCGGUAAUACGUAGGUCCCGAGCGU
rnacentral:rRNA from 1 species